GGCCUACCAUGGUGGUAACGGGUAACGGGGUGUUAGGGCACGACACCGGAGAGGGAGCCUGAGAAACGGCUACCACAUCCAAGGAUGGCAGCAGGCGCGCAAAUUACCCAAUCCCGACACGGGGAGGUAGUGACAAUAAAUAACAAUACGGGGUUCUUAAGGAUCUCGUAAUUGGAAUGAGUACAAUUUAAAUCUCUUAACGAGGAACAAUUGGAGGGCAAGUCUGGUGCCAGCAGCCGCGGUAAUUCCAGCUCCAAUAGCGUAUAUUAAAGUUGUUGCAGUUAAAAAGCUCGUAGUUGAAUUUCGGGAUCAAUUUGUCGGUCGUGCCUCGGUACGUACUGGCAUUAUUGGUUUCUACCUUCUGAAGAACCUUGAUGUCAUUAAUUUGGUGUCUUGGGGAAUCAGGACUGUUACUUUGAAAAAAUUAGAGUGUUUAAAGCAGGCAUACGCUUGAAUACAUUAGCAUGGAAUAAUGAAAUAGGACGUUUGAUUCUAUUUUGUUGGUUUCCAGGAUCGACGUAAUGAUUAAUAGGGAUAGUUGGGGGCAUUAGUAUUCAAUUGUCAGAGGUGAAAUUCUUGGAUUUAUUGAAGACUAACUACUGCGAAAGCAUUUGCCAAGGAUGUUUUCAUUAAUCAAGAACGAAAGUUAGGGGAUCGAAGACGAUCAGAUACCGUCGUAGUCUUAACCAUAAACUAUGCCGACUAGGGAUCGGAUGAUGUUAUUUUUAAUGACUCAUUCGGCGCCUUACGGGAAACCAAAGUGUUUGGGUUC
rnacentral:rRNA from 1 species